rnacentral:lncRNA from 10 species
CCUUCGGCUGCAGCCCUGUUGCCCAAGCUCAGGGCAACCCCUGAGCCCUGAUCCCAAGGGAGGCAGUGCCGCCUUCUCCUCUAGGCCUGGCAGUUCCAGGGUGACAGGAAGGUCACGAUAUCUCUGUUUGGGUGCACUGCAGCCUCCGCUUCCUGCCAGGACCAGGCUGUAUCAGGCACUGGGAUGAAGAAAACAUUCCAAGCAAUGGGCUGGCCUAGAAGACUCUCCAGGUCAUGAUGUGACCAAGGUUGCCCCUUGCCACUCCCAGCUUUAUUCUCACCAGCUCAGCAACCCCAGGGAAAAGGGAGCACCAAUUUCCAAUUGUUUCAGAACAAGGAAACUAUUGCUGCAUCCCAAGAGUCCCGCAUGCAGUAGCUCAUCAACUGGUCACAAGGACGUUAGAGAAGAACAGACCUCAGGAGCGCACAUGCACAGAGGGAUGACCGUGUGCAGAGGCAGCAAGAGGGUCGCCAUCUGCAGGCCAAAGAGAGAGGCCUUGACGGAAAUCAACCCUGACAGCCGGCAUCUCGAGCUUGGACUUCCAGCCUCCAGCACUGUGAGAUAAUAACUGUGUUGCUUAAGCCACCCGGUCUGUGGU